AAAGUCAGUCACCUUCUCCAGAAUUUGGAAAGACGGCCUCGACGUACCAGGAAAGAUGACUUCUGGAGCCGGUCUGAUAGGGAGUUACACCCUCCAGACCUGUGGAAAUCAGCAAGCAGAAAACAGUAAGAAGAUAAAGAAGAGACCAGUCGACCCUAGAGUACCCCUGAACCAGACUUAGGAGUGGCAUCACAGGAAGAACAGAAGCGGCUUGAUGACAGUGAACAUAACCAGCUCAGUUUCAAACUUCAUGAAGCAGAAACUGGUAGAAGCCUGGCAUGGUGGUGCACAUCACUCAAGAGGCUGAGGCAGGAGGAUCACCACGAGUUCAAGUC